rfam:Nectria haematococca mpVI 77-13-4 chromosome 3 genomic scaffold NECHAsca_2_chr3_3_0, whole genome shotgun sequence.
UACUAGGAUGAGGUAAUUUGCGAUUGAUUCUGUCCGAUGGCACUCUCGCCUGAGUCGCUAUAUCGGGUGGCAAGCUGAUAUUCAAUUUCUUACAUAUUCUGAAC